GCGCUCUUAGCUUAAGUCAUUAGCAUUCUCAUUGUCUUUCACUUUUGACAGGUCUGAAAAUGAGUUCUGGGCUCAUCUGUCACUGAGCGUAGUACGGACAUGUUGGAGCUGACACUGCUGUUGCAGUACAAGGAAGCUCUGGACAGUAACUGAGCAACUCAGCUGCUUGUGGUGGUGAUUUUGAUCAAACAAUAGUAGUUGAAUAAGCACCUCAAGGUCUGUUGCAAAAUCAAACUACUUCAGACUUGUGAAA